UGAGGAAUAUUGGUCAAUGGGCACAAGCCUGAACCAGCCAUCCCGCGUGCAGGAAGACGGCGCUAUGCGUUGUAAACUGCUUUUCCAGGGAGAGAAACUUGCGCACGUGUUGCGCAAUUGACGGUACCCUGGGAAUAAGCAUCGGCUAACUCCGUGCCAGCAGCCGCGGUAACACGGAGGAUGCGAGCGUUAUCCGGAUUCAUUGGGUUUAAAGGGUGCGUAGGCGGACUAUUAAGUCAGUGGUGAAAUCCUGCAGCUUAACUGCAGAACUGCCAUUGAUACUGAUAGCCUUGAGUUUGGUUAAGGUAGGCGGAAUGUGUAAUGUAGCGGUGAAAUGCUUAGAUAUUACACAGAACACCAAUUGUGUAGGCAGCUUACUGAGCCGACACUGACGCUGAGGCACGAAAGCGUGGGGAUCGAACAG
rnacentral:rRNA from 1 species